UAUGUGAUCGUCUCUCGCAUAUCAAUAAGCGGAGGAAAAGAAACUAACAAGGAUUCCCCUAGUAACGGCGAGUGAAGCGGGAAGAGCUCAAAUUUGAAAUCUUAAAGGGUUUCCCUUUACGAAUUGUAGUUUAAAGAAGUGUUUUCUGUUGAGGUUUUGGUAAAAGUUCUUUGGAAUAGGACAUCAUAGAGGGUGAGAAUCCCGUAUUUGGCCUUUACUUUCAACUUUGUGAUACACUUUCAAAGAGUCGGAUUGUUUGGGAAUGCAGUCCAAAAUGGGUGGUAAAUUUCAUCUAAAGCUGAAUAUUGGCGAGAGACCGAUAGCGAACAAGUACCGUGAGGGAAAGAUGAAAAGAACUUUGAAAAGAGAGUUAAACAGUACGUGAAAUUGUCAAAAGGGAAGCGUUUGACACCAGUGUUGUUUUUCUGAAAAUCAAUUAAAGAACUGUUUAUGCUAAGCUGUUUAGACUUUAUCAGCUAAUCUGUUUAGUUUUGAGCUUUUCUUUAAUGCACUUUUCAGUUAACAAGUCAACAUCAAUUUCUUUUGCUGUAAAAAAGCUUGAGGAAGGUGGCUUGAGAUUCGUCUUAAGUGUUUAUAGCCUCUUGCCUAUGCAGUCGGAGAGAUUGAGGUCUGCAGCGUAGAUCCUUCGGGGCUAAAUGCAUUUGUGCUAAGUUAUAGCAUUUUAUAGACAACUUGUUGACUAUGAUUUGUCUUGUAACUUACUCGCUUAUGUUAUUUUACCUACGCUUAGGAUGUUGACACACGCGCGUGCUCG
rnacentral:rRNA from 1 species